rnacentral:lncRNA from 1 species
CUGGCAGUGGGGAAAACUCUUACAGGACCCCAAGCAGAAACCAAGUGCUCCAUCUGUCUGGAUUACCUUAGAGGCCCCAUUGCAUUGAGUGUGGGCAUAAGUUCUGUUGCUCCCGCAUCUAAGUCUUGGGAGGAUCUAUAGGAAAGGCUCCCCUGCCCUGUCUAUUAUAACCAAUGCCAAGAGGGGCCUUUUAGGAGAUACACCCAGCUUGGCAAGAUAAUUUAAAUUCCCAAGCUACUCUACAUCACCAGGAGCCAUAGAGUCAGGCUGGGCAAGAAGCACAACCGGGUCCUGACCAUCUUCUGUGAGGAGGAGUUAGUGGUGUUGUAUCUCCUGUGCAGCCAGCCCCCACACCACCAGGAUCACCACAUGAGGCCAAUAGAGAAGGCUGUCUUAUCACAGGAAAAGGCUAUGCAGUUACAUCCAUCUCCUGAAAAAGCAAUCGGAAGACCUUCAAACAUUAAUAAGCAUUCCAAGCAAAAGACUCUUAGAACUGAGAGAAAGUGAAAAACCUAAUGCAAGAAUUAUCCUCUGAAUUUGAGCACCUGAACCAGUUUUUAGAACGUGAGCAAUAGGCAGCUCUCUCCAGGUUAGCUGAAGAAGAGAGUCAACAAAACUCAGCACAAACAUAACAGCAUUUUCAAUCUACAUUUCCACAUUCAAAAGUCAAAUAAGCAAGAUAGUAGAGUUCAGUGUGUUGUCUGAAGUGAAAUUUUUGCUAUCACAAAUUAAAAUUUUCUACAAGUUUGAAAAAUAAGAAUAGCCCAUCAAUCUUUGCAAUUUAUUUAAGGAGAGAUGACUGCAGUUUCCUCCCAAAUAUUCUGCUCUGCAGAGAAUUAUAAAGAAAUUUAAGGUAGAUAUAAUUCUACACUCUGAAACAGUAUACCAUAAUCUGAUUGUAUUUAAGGAUUAAAGAAAAGGUGUGACAUUUAAAAAGAGAAGACAAAAGAUUCCUGGUUUCCCAAAAAGAUUUACAAUCAAACCUGUUGUCCUGGAUUUUCCAUAUUUUCAUUCUGGCAGGCAUUUCUGAGAAGUAGAAGUGGGACAUAAGUCUAAAUGGGCUAUUGGCAUUCACAGGCAUUCUUUUCCCACAAAGGUGAGGAGACCACUGUUAGCCCAACAGGAGUGUUGGAGGAUUCAGCUGCAGGAUGAUAGCUGUCAUGCACCAUGAGAUAUUCCAACUCCUCUAUUGUUAGAAGUGAAAGCCAGAGGCAUUGGCUUUUUCCUGGACUAUGAACUGGGUGAGAUCUCAUUCUGUAACAUGACUGAGAAAUCUCACAACUAUACUUUCACUGAUACUUUUAUUGGAACUCUUCCAUCUUAUUUCUAUGCAAGACUUGAUUCCAAAUAUCUCAGAACCUAUACAGGAACAGUUUGUCAAUGA